rnacentral:rRNA from 1 species
AGUCGUAACAAGGUUUCCGUAGGUGAACCUGCGGAAGGAUCAUUAAAGAAAUUUAAUAAUUUUGAAAAUGGAUUUUUUUGUUUUGGCAAGAGCAUGAGAGCUUUUACUGGGCAAGAAGACAAGAGAUGGAGAGUCCAGCCGGGCCUGCGCUUAAGUGCGCGGUCUUGCUAGGCUUGUAAGUUUCUUUCUUGCUAUUCCAAACGGUGAGAGAUUUCUGUGCUUUUGUUAUAGGACAAUUAAAACCGUUUCAAUACAACACACUGUGGAGUUUUCAUAUCUUUGCAACUUUUUCUUUGGGCAUUCGAGCAAUCGGGGCCCAGAGGUAACAAACACAAACAAUUUCAUCUAUUCAUUAAAUUUUUGUCAAAAACAAGAAUUUUCGUAACUGGAAAUUUUAAAAUAUUAAAAACUUUCAACAACGGAUCUCUUGGUUCUCGCAUCGAUGAAGAACGCAGCGAAAUGCGAUACGUAAUGUGAAUUGCAGAAUUCCGUGAAUCAUCGAAUCUUUGAACGCACAUUGCGCCCCUUGGUAUUCCAGGGGGCAUGCCUGUUUGAGCGUCAUUUCCUUCUCAAACAUUCUGUUUGGUAGUGAGUGAUACUCUUUGGAGUUAACUUGAAAUUGCUGGCCUUUUCAUUGGAUGUUUUUUUUCCAAAGAGAGGUUUCUCUGCGUGCUUGAGGUAUAAUGCAAGUACGGUCGUUUUAGGUUUUACCAACUGCGGCUAAUCUUUUUUUAUACUGAGCGUAUUGGAACGUUAUCGAUAAGAAGAGAGCGUCUAGGCGAACAAUGUUCUUAAAGUUUGGACUCAAAUCAGGUAGGAGUACCCGCUGAACUUAAGCAUAUCAAUAAGCG